UCCUGAACAGAGAUUGGAGUUUCUUCAGCUCACUAUUAUCCCUGGUGUGAAAGCAGAAAAAAGACAGUAUGAAUCAUGCAGCUGCUGGAAAAGAUUAUCUGCAACAUUACCAAACCUAUCAUAAAACAGGAGGGGGAGAAUUGAAGACUUGCUGAGAAUUCAUGUCAAAUAUAACACAGUUUCAUGUAUGAUCUUGUUGCUACGGGAAACAUAACCAAAACAUGGAGAUAAUUCCUAUGACUACAUUUUCUGGAGCUCUACCACUAAUGCUGUUCUUGAGACUUCACUGACCAUGAGAAACCAGUGGAGAUGGAAUUCAAGAUACACUCAUAUAACACCAUAUAUUGCAACGGAAUUGCUGUAAGAAAUGUUAAUGUUUGAACUAAGGUAGCUGGGAUAGAGCCAACCAGUGUUAAGAAUUUUUUACUUGUUAUCGGGACAUAAAGUCUUUUGGAAAGUU